AGUGAACGCUGGCGGUAGGCCUAACACAUGCAAGUCGAACGGCAGCACAGUAAGAGCUUGCUCUUACGGGUGGCGAGUGGCGGACGGGUGAGGAAUACAUCGGAAUCUACUUUUUCGUGGGGGAUAACGUAGGGAAACUUACGCUAAUACCGCAUACGACCUACGGGUGAAAGCAGGGGAUCUUCGGACCUUGCGCGAUUGAAUGAGCCGAUGUCGGAUUAGCUAGUUGGCGGGGUAAAGGCCCACCAAGGCGACGAUCCGUAGCUGGUCUGAGAGGAUGAGCAGCCGCACUGGAACGGAGACACGGUCCAGACUACUACGGGAGGCACCAGGGGGGAAGAGUGGACAAUGGGCGCAAGCCUGAUCCAGCUAUAGCGCGUGAGGGAAGAAGGCCUGCGGGUUGGAAAGCACUGUUGUGGGGAAAGAAAAGCAGCAGGUUAAUACCCCGCUGGUCGGACGGUACCCAAAGAAUAAGCACCGGCUAACGUCGUG
rnacentral:rRNA from 1 species